GUGAAUCAUCAAAUUUUUGAACGCAAAUUGCACUUUCUGGGAUUCCUGAGAGUAUUCCUGUUUGAGGGUCUGUAAAAUAAAAAUCGGUGUUGUUGCUGCCUUUCGUGCUGACGCGACGGAUUUGAGUUGUCUUACUUUCGGUUAAGUGACUUAAAAUUUUUCCUUGAUUUUCGUAAGUAUUUAAAUCGUUUACGUACGCACAAGUUAACG
rnacentral:misc_RNA from 1 species